CAGAAUUGGCUUUGAUAUUUUUUUUUGGCAAGCAAUAAUGAGAAUUAAACCUACCUCUUUCAUCAAUCCUUAUUUUGGUCAUGGCCGUAGUCUCCCACGUCGUCCAUACGACAUCUGUGAAUCUCCUAUUGCGCAACGGAAGAGGGUGGUCAGGCUUCUGAUGAGCUAAGCAACUUACCUGAAUCUGAAUCUGAAACUCGGGAUGAGAAGAUCUCUGAUGCUACUGCCUCCACCUCUGUCAAGGUCAAGCGUGCACGACCAAUCCAUCCGCAUGGCUGAUUUGGCUUUGGAAAAGAAGAAUCACAUUAACACGAAGAAGACACCAACGCUUAAGGCAUUCGAGAGCAAAUCCAGCACCUAAGGCUUCCGUUUAUCCUAUAAUCACCAGAACUACAGUCGCUUUCUAAUUUCCUAGUGCUUUUGUAGGGAUGUUAUCUGCAGCGUUAGAGCACGAUCCUUUUUGUUUAUUAUAACCCCAACCUUAUUUUAACCCAGCCCAUUUGAAAAAAAUUAUUUCAUUUA